AGAGUUUGAUCCUGGCUCAGAUUGAACGCUGGCGGCAUGCCUUACACAUGCAAGUCGAACGGCAGCACGGGUGCUUGCACCUGGUGGCGAGUGGCGAACGGGUGAGUAAUAUAUCGGAACGUACCUUAUCGUGGGGGAUAACGCAGCGAAAGCUGCGCUAAUACCGCAUACGCCCUGAGGGGGAAAGCGGGGGACCGUAAGGCCUCGCGCGAUUAGAGCGGCCGAUAUCUGAUUAGCUUGUUGGUGGGGUAAAAGCCCACCAAGGCGACGAUCAGUAGCUGGUCUGAGAGGACGAUCAGCCACACAUGGGACUGAGACACGGCCCAGACUCCUACGGGAGGCAGCAGUGGGGAAUUUUGGACAAUGGGGGCAACCCUGAUCCAGCAAUGCCGCGUGAGUGAAGAAGGCCUUCGGGUUGUAAAGCUCUUUUGUCAGGGAAGAAACAGCAGCUCUAACACAGUCUGCGAAUGACGGUACCUGAAGAAUAAGCACCGGCUAACUACGUGCCAGCAGCCGCGGUAAUACGUAGGGUGCAAGCGUUAAUCGGAAUUACUGGGCGUAAAGCGUGCGCAGGCGGUUAUACAAGACAGGCGUGAAAUCCCCGGG
rnacentral:rRNA from 1 species